CACAGAGAUAUCUCUUCACAAUACCACUCACUAUAAGGUCAUUAAUCCCACAUUAUGACACCCACAUUACAAAUAAGGAAACUGAGACGCAGGGAGAUUAUAGAACAAGCAGUCUGCCAAGCUCCUGAGAAUAAAUAACUCAGAGAUGACCACCAGAGUUCUAGUCCCAACUCUGAUACUACCUGGUUGACUGGAACCCAUUAAAGGAAAAACGGAAAAGGUUUUGGAUUUUUUCAACCCAGCUGCCCUGGACAGAAGCCAGCCCACAGAUGCCUUAAUUCAAGAUACUGAAAGAACUCUAAGGAAUAGGCUCUGGGCCCUGGAAAGUCAUGAUAAUCUCUCACAUGAUGGAGCCAUUAGGAAAGCAGGGCUUGAAUCCAAAAAACCAGGCCUAGGGGAUUCAAAUCCAACAGCCUUCAUUGAGUCAGCAUGGCCCAGAACAGCCUUCAACCCCCUAAGGAGGGAGGUCCAAGAACUUGAGACUCCAUUCUACAAAGCUCUCCCAUCAUCCCAUGAUUUUCCUAGCAAUGCUAAAACAUUGGAGAUUUUCCAAAUACUACAACUGUUAAGAUGAAAUUUAACUCUCCCCUGAUUAUAACAAUGAAAUUAAUUAACUCUCCCCAAUUGUGAAGAUUAAAUUGUAACCCCUGACUAUUUUUAGAACACCCUACUUAAAGUUGAGUAUGGAGAUCUGCCUAUUUUUAGAUCUAAUCACCAAAAGUGUAAACAUUCCACUUUGAGUGGGAGGUCUGUGACCCACAUGUGCAAUAGUGGGUGAUGAAUCAGAAUCAACUGACUGCCUUCUGGGCAGUCCUAGAGCAGAGCAUCAACUGUGAUUGGUAGAUGAAAAAUUAGGGGAAGACACAGGAAGUGAUGGAAGAGAAAAUGUCUUUAAAAGGAAGUGACAACUUCCUGAAGGAAUUCAAUUCUUCAUGCUUUUGAGUUGAGGCUGGUGAAGAGGGGCAGAAGGAUCUACUGACUGGACCUGAGACCCUGUUCCUGACUGGACUGACACGUGGUGAGUGAAAGCUGACUCGUAACUGCUGGUUUUUCUCUGAAGAGACUGGCCUCAGGAAAAACCUUUCCUCUUGAGAAACUUCCCAGGUCCUUGGCUUUGCUGAG
rnacentral:lncRNA from 1 species